AGUGAUAAGUGAAAAAUAAAGAAAAACAACAAGUAAAGGGAGUAUUUGGGCCAAAACAUUACAAAGAUAUUAGGGGAUAUGAUCUCUUCCACUCCGUCUACACACUCCCAAUUCUACUUGAUCGAUUCUCACACUUUUAUAAAGAUAUUAGUGCUAUUAAUGACAAUUAAGGAUGAGAAAAUAAAGUAUCAUAGAGAAGAGGGGUUAUAUACUACUAGGGCAUCGCGAAUAUAGG
rnacentral:lncRNA from 1 species